AUUGUAGGAGAUAGCUAGCUUUAUACCUUAUAAAAUGAUCAAAUCUUGUCCUACCUAUUACAGAAGAAAAAAAAAAAGUUGGAAAACAUGAAUACAAUUCUGAAAUUUAUUUUCGUUGUGUUCCUCUGUCUUUCCAUAUUUCUUGUUGUAGAGAGCCUGAAUUUUGGUCCAUGUAAUACUCACGAAGAUUGUCAAAAGUAUGAGUAUACUUAUUCUUGUGUUAUGGAGUGUGUUGAAUCAGUUUGUGACUGUUGGUCAAAUGAGAUAGUGGAUUUUAUAUUCCCCAGGAAUUAGAAACUACAACUAUCUCUCUUUUGUGAGCCGUCCCAUAAACUUUAGUUUUUUCUUCUUCAUCCAUCAAAGAGGGGUGAUUUAGGGUCAAUCUUUGACAAUAAAUUAUUCGUCUAAAUCGUUUUUCUCCUUCCCUUUUAUUUAAAUUAAGAGAUUUUCACACUAUUUAGUUUUCUUUUUCGUGAUUUCGCCGUCUUAGUGCGAGAUUGUUUUGUUUGUCGUCUUUGUGCGUUGUUGUUUGUCAUUUUUCGUCUUGUUUUGGUGUUUUUCCGGUUCAGAUUGUCAGAUCAGCUUCAAUCGAGUGCAAAUUCAAUCAACGACUUUGGCGUCGUGAACUUUGCAUAUAUGAAGACAUGAGUAUUCUGGAGACUUGAAUAUAGUCAUGUUUGUAGACUAUUGUACUUUGUCGUUUAAUGUUAUUAACAUGGAUGUUGUAAAUUUGUUUACAGAUUCAUCAUUUUUUUUAUCGAAUUUGUAUUAUAUUGAUGUCUUGAA